AUUGAACGCUGGCGGUAUGCUUAACACAUGCAAGUCGAACGGUAACAGGCCUUCGGGCGCUGACGAGUGGCGGACGGGUGCGUAACGCGUAGGAAUCUGCCUGUUAGUGGGGGGACAACGUGGGGAAACUCACGCUAAUACCGCAUACGCCCUACGGGGGAAAGCGGGGGCUCUUCGGACCUCGCGCUAUGAGAUGAGCCUGCGUUAGAUUAGCUAGUUGGUAGGGUAAAGGCCUACCAAGGCGACGAUCUAUAGCUGGUCUGAGAGGACGAUCAGCCACACGUGGGACUGACGACACCGGCCCAGACCUCCGUACGGGUGCUG
rnacentral:rRNA from 1 species